rnacentral:tRNA from 1 species
GGGUGUAUAGCUCAGUGGUAGAGCCUUGCACUGUUAAUGCAAUGGUCGACAGUUCGAAUCUGUCUGCGCCCU